UACGUAGGGUGCAAGCGUUGUCCGGAAUUAUUGGGCGUAAAGAGCGUGUAGGCGGCCCGACCAGUCCGCUGUGAAAGUCCAGGGCUCAACCCUGGAAUGCCGGUGGAUACUGUCGGGCUAGAGUCCGGAAUGGGCGAGUGGAAUUCCUGGUGUAGCGGUGAAAUGCGCAGAUAUCAGGAGGAACACCAAUGGCGAAGGCAGCUCGCUGGGACGUGACUGACGCUGAGACGCGAAAGCGUGGGGGAGCGAACAGG
rnacentral:rRNA from 1 species